UACGGGAGGCAGCAGUGGGGAAUAUUGCACAAUGGGCGAAAGCCUGAUGCAGCUAUGCCGCGUGUAUGAAGAAGGCCUUAGGGUUGUAAAGUACUUUCAUCGGGGAGGAAAAAACAAAACUAAUAAUUUUAUUUCUUGACGUUACCCGAAAAAGAAGCACCGGCUAACUCCGUGCCAGCAGCCGCGGUAAUACGGAGGGUGCUAGCGUUAAUCAGAAUUACUGGGCGUAAAGAGCACGUAGGUGGUUUUUUUAAGUCAGAUGUGAAAUCCCUGGGCUUAACCUAGGAACUGCAUUUUGAAACUGAAAUACUAGAGUAUCGUAGAGGGAGGUAGAAUUCUAGGUGUAGCGGUGAAAUGCGUAGAUAUCUGGAGGAAUACCUGUGGCGAAAGCGGCCCUAACGAAUACUGACACUGAGGUGCGAAAGCGUGGGGAGGCAAACAGGGAUUAGAUACCCGU
rnacentral:rRNA from 1 species